UGGGGUGACCAGGAGCGUGCUGGGGGAGUAUGGAGUGUACUGGGGUGCUAUGGAGGGCACUGGGAUGCUGCGGACUCAGAGCCAUGGAGCUCCGGGAGGUGUCGGGGCUUGGCGGGCUGGGGAAUGGCUUGGCACACGGAGGACCGGGAACGCUGGGAACGGGGCUGGUUCGGGUGCUCCCGGGGCUGGCAGCGGGGCCAGCCGGAGGGGCUGCAGGGCUAAUCCCGGCUAAUCCUACCCUUGGCCAGGUGCCCGGGCACUGGCAUCUUCCCACAUCUGGAAGAUCCCGAGCUUCCCCCCAGCCCUCCCAGUCCCGGCCAUUGGUGCCCGCUGCCUUCAUAAGGGACGGACCCCGACCCCGGCUCAUCCCUGGGUGGCUCCUGGCUGUGGUUGUCACCCAAAAUCCUCCAGGAUGGUGAAGCUCUGGGUUGUCCUGCUGCUGGCCUGGCUCGCCUGCAGCCUGGCCGCCGGCGCUCCUCUUGAUGGGACGUCCUCCCCGAGCCCCGACGUUGAGGCAGCCGAGAGGGCCAAUGGAGGGCUGCUGGCCCGGCUGGUUGACGUGCUGCAUGAGGCGCUGGAGGCUCUGACCUCCAACA